rnacentral:rRNA from 1 species
GGGCACUCUAAUGGGACUGCCGGUGACAAACCGGAGGAAGGUGGGGAUGACGUCAAGUCCUCAUGGCCCUUAUGGGUAGGGCUUCACACGUCAUACAAUGGUCGGUACAGAGGGUUGCCAACCCGCGAGGGGGGAGCUAAUCCCACAAAGCCGAUCGUAGUCCGGAUCGCAGUCUGCAACUCGACUGCGUGAAGUCGGAAUCGCUAGUAAUCGUGGAUCAGCAUGUCACGGUGAAUACGUUCCCGGGCCUU